AGGACGAACGCUGGCGGCGUGCCUAAUACAUGCAAGUCGAACGGUCUUUCUAUGGAAGCUUGCUUCCACUGAAAGAUAGUGGCGAACGGGUGAGUAACACGUGGGUAACCUGCCCAUAAGAGGGGGAUAACAUCCGGAAACGGGUGCUAAUACCGCAUAGUUUUCUUGAUCGCAUGAUCGGGAAAGGAAAGACGGCCUUUGUGCUGUCGCUUAUGGAUGGACCCGCGGCGUAUUAGUUAGUUGGUGAGGUAACGGCUCACCAAGACGAUGAUACGUAGCCGACCUGAGAGGGUGAUCGGCCACAUUGGGACUGAGACACGGCCCAAACUCCUACGGGAGGCAGCAGUAGGGAAUCUUCCGCAAUGGACGAAAGUCUGACGGAGCAACGCCGCGUGAGUGAAAGAAGGUUUUCGGAUCGUAAAACUCUGUUGUCAGAGAAGAACAAGUUGGAGAGUAACUGCUCCAGCCUUGACGGUAUCUGACCAGAAAGCCACGGCUAACUACGUGCCAGCCGCCGC
rnacentral:rRNA from 1 species